UGCCAGCAGCCGCGGUAAGACGGAGGGGGCUAGCGUUGUUCGGAAUGACUGGGCGUAAAGCGCGCGUAGGUGGUUCUGUAAGUUAGAUGUGAAAGCCCUGGGCUUAACCCAGGAAUUGCAUUUAAAACUGCAGAACUAGAGUGUGAUAGGGGAGUGGAAUUCCGAGUGUAGAGGUGAAUUUCGUAGAUAUUCGGAGGAACAUCUGAGGCGAAGGCGACAUUCUGGGUCACAACUGACACUGAGGUGCGAUAGCGUGGGGAGCAAACAGGAUUAGAUA
rnacentral:rRNA from 1 species